UCUUCUCUUCUUCUUCCUUUUUGCUCACUGUUUUCUUCUUGUUUCUUUUUAUUUGUGUUAUUUACCUGGGUGUUCUAUUUGGGUUUCAUCGAUGGCUUUUCAGUUUUUUCGCUACAGAGAAUUAGUGAAAUGGAUAGCUUCUUUGUGUUUACUCUGCUAUUUCAACCACGCAUGUGUUAUUUUCAGUUUCUUCACUACAGAGGAACAUCAAAUGAGCCUGAACAUUACAAAUCGUCAUGUGUGUGGAUGUUGUUUGGCGGACACCCAUUUCCAUUUCUUGUGAAUUCAGCUCAUACAAAGCAUCAAGGGGAAAUUGAAAUUACUUAUUUAUUUAUUCAUUUUGGGUUUCUAAAAGUGGAAAUUGCUCAAGAAGAGCACAUCUUGAAUUAAAGAGAACGGGAGAUGAAGUUAUUGAACUGGUAAUUCUAUUGGCUAUAAUGAAUUAUUCAAUUGUAGGGAAGUACAACAAUGACUAAAGAAUUAUGUUGCUGAAAGCUGCAUUAGGAGUUCACAACCUCGAAUUUUGAAGAUGGUUUCCAGAAAAGACCAAUAUGGUGAUGAAUUGCAGAUAGGGAUUUGCUUUUAUGGAAUCAAUUUUUUUUUUUUUUUGGAGUCAUGAAUUUCCUGCGCUAAACCUGAACAUUCAAUCAAGUUGAGCUGGUUAUCGAGAUGUCGACAUAGAUUUCAGUAGUUGAAACAAAUGCUAUGAGAUUAUGGCCUAUUUUCCCUUUCCACUUAAUAACCUUCUUGUGAAAGAUGCAAUAUGGUGAAUGUUGAAGUGACGAAAGCUAUAUCACAAGUUACUGAUGAGAAAACAAAUGGGGUUACAACUGUGGACCUUGAAAAGUUGGUUAAGAUCAAGCAACUUUUAUGCAGUGUUCUUAGAGGCGGUAAAAAUCAAGAGCUGUCGUGCAGUGCUGUAUCAUGGGGCCACUUAGACUGAGAGAAGGCUUAACCAUCUGAUUUUUGUAUACACGGAAUAUUAACAUGCCACAGUGAAGAGUCAGACGAUGAAGAAAGGCCAAAUAUGUUGUUAAAUGGCAUGACAAUGACUACUCAGUAGUGAUAAUUCGAUGCAAGGGUAGCCUAAAUGGCUAAAACUUCUAUGUAUGAUCUAAACUCUGGGAGAUGUGCAGCAUGUUGGUUUUCCAUGGUAACAUCGAUGUUGAAGGGCCAGAAGAUUAAGAGGGAAUACUACAUAAGGCAUCUUGGUGGAUCACCUGCAAAAUCAAGAUGCAGGAAAACAAGCAGUGUUUCAAUGUCUUGAAGCAGCUAUAGCAAGAAGCAUAUCCAAGAUUAGCACUUUGAUUUACCUUUUUCGACAUCUAGAUAAUUAAAUGGGAGUUGACGUGAGAGAUGACUCAUGAAGAAACAAUUUAGCCAUAUAUGGCUGGCUUUAGUGAGAUGAACACCAUCCCAGUUAACGUGUUGAGAAGGUCAGGACAAGAGCUUGCAGAAGGAGAACCCAAGUGUUGAAUUCGUCAAAGUCAAUAUUCUCUCCAUGUUGGUUUCAAUUUCGCUUAUACAGAGAUUUCAUGCCAGUAUGCAUCACGGAGCUUGGUACAGUGGCGGCUUAUCUAGGAAGUUAGCUGAACGAGGAGUCAAGCUUCUGGGGUUUUCUUGUGACGAUGGUCAGACUCACAAGAGUGGUUCAAGGUUUUGGAUAUUAAAAGUUUCUAGAAAGUGUUGAAUGUCAAGACUUGACUCUGCAUGUUAUAUCUAAGUUCAUGUUAGCUUAUCUGAUUCCAUGCGGAAAUCAAUUAAGCCAUGUAGUUCACUUUUCACCUUCUUUCUUGAUCAAAACAUUCUUGUGAAACUUUUUCAUGAAAAAGAAUGAAACUAUUUCCAUUUGUUUAAUUCUAAGUUUGUUAAAGUGUUUGUGGACGUUAGUCAUACGCUUUUGAGUUGUUGAACAGAUUUUCUCUAGAACUGUCCAUUUGGAUAAUUUUUCUACUUCUAUGACUUACAUGUAGGUUAUUUUGGUAGUGAUUCAUUCCGAAAAUGACAUUCUAAACAAAAGAUUGAGAUUCUAUAAAGAAGAGGGAAAACUUUGGAGUUCCAAAUGGAUUCCAUGAAGGCUAUAGUGCAGCACCUUAAGGUUGAUACUUCAUUUUUACUUGGUCUUUUAGUACAAUUAACCAAGACACUUAUUAAUGCUUCUGUCACCAUGCACUACAGAUUCCAAGAAAUAAACUCAUCGUGAUUAUAUCUGUUUAGUUAGAUAGAUCAAGCGUUUGCUGAUUUUAUUUGUUUUAACUGAAAACAAUGAUAUUCAUGAAGCUACCAAGUUAUCUGAUGUAGCUGAUAAGAAAGUGCCUUAGGAAAUAUUACCUGGACAUGCUCAAAACCGAAUUGGCAUCAUUCAGUACGGAUGAUUCUAAUCUUCAUGAAAGGUACUAAGCAACAACUUCUUCAAUGGAUUCUCAAGAUUAUUGCUGGAAUUCCAGUUCCAAAUGGCAGUUAAAAGUUGUUUAUUUUGCUUCCCAAUUGAGGUUGUCAAAUUUUGCUGGAAAUAGUUCUAAGAUUAGCUGCAGACCAGCAGACUGUAUUCUCCACUAAUUCAGCUGAAGCUCAUGUUAUUUCCACAUGCUAAGUUCCAAUAAAUAGGUGAGAAAGAGAGCUGAUUAAAAAAAAAUAGUGUUGGGACGAUCUCAGGCAGCUAGCUUAAACAUUGAGUAAAAUGAUAGAUGUCAAUCGGUGGAGGAAUUGCUUGAACAGAGAAUGAGGACAUGUCAGUAACUGUUGAGCUUCUGUCACUGCCGGUACAAUAUUAAAAUUGAUGUCUUUUUUCUCAUAUGUUUUAUAAGAAAUUCAUGAGUACAUAUCUUUUGUGUUAAAGAUUGCAAGUCAUUUAUUUUAAACCAAUGUGUUUAUGCCACCUUUUGAUUUUUGUAUAUUCACUGUUGAAAAUGAUGUGAGUCCGUAGUCACAUCUAACUUCGGGAGAAUUUCCUUGUGGGGAUUGUGUUGUUAAUUCAAUUGCCACUACUGUUUUGUAUA